rnacentral:rRNA from 1 species
CACGUAGGGUGCAAGCGUUGUCCGGAAUUAUUGGGCGUAAAGAGCUCGUAGGCGGUCUGUCGCGUCUGCUGUGAAAACUCAGGGCUUAACCCUGAGCUUGCAGUGGAUACGGGCAGACUUGAGUACUGCAGGGGGAGACUGGAAUUCCUGGUGUAGCGGUGGAAUGCGCAGAUAUCGGGGAAGAACACCCGUGGCGAAGGCGGCUCUCUGGGACGGUACUGACGCUGAGACGCGAAAGCGUGGGGAGCGAACAGG